CAGCUGGGAAGAACGAGCCUGCGGGUGCUGCUGUAGCUCUGGGCACAGGUGUCUUUUCUCCUCCUACGUGAGCUCGGGGCUGAAAAGGGAGACUAUAUGCCCACCAGCUCCCCUGGGAAGCUCAGCUACUGGAGGGUCCCAGCCUGAGAGCAGCAGAAAUGAGGCAUCCUCCUGGUGUCGGUGAAUAGAGGGAGUCCAAGUGCGUAAUAACGCUGCUUCAAAUAAAACAGAGAACUUCCAUGUAACCACAGAACCCAGGAGCCGGGGCUUUAACGCAAGCACCACGUAUCCCAGAGGUGCCAGUGCUACAUGACUCUUCUAUAGACCAGAAGACGGGGAAGAAUUCGGUGGAUGCAAUAGCCUGGUGCCUUAUUUUUAGCACGAGGCUGUGGAGCAGCAGUGGUUUGAGCUCUGGUUGCCAUUUCCCUUUCUGUGUUAGCACCCAGCAAAAUAAAAACAUGUGGGAUAGACUGAGGUGCUGUCACCCCAUGCUCUUGAGGACUUCACUAGCACCCAGCCAGCAGAUGAAGGACAGACUCCUUCCAAACCCGGCAUGGAAAUCACAAAAGUGACCCCACAGCAUGGAGAGUUUUUUGCUGGUUUUGUGGGUCCACAAUGAUAGGGGAAGAAGCUAAAGACAGAGGGCUUUUUAUUUUUCCCACCACCUGCAGCAAGAUUCAAAAACCCAUCUCCGAACACCAAAAACUCCACAAUCCCAAAAACAUUUAGGACAUUCCCUUGCCAAGCACCUUCCCCUCAGCAUCCCUGCACCAUGCUGACGUGGAUCACGCGCUCCCAGUGCAGCCCUCCUGCCAUGGCAGGGCUGCGGGGAUGGAGGUUGAUGGGAGGGCUUAAUUAAUCAGUUAAUUAAUCCCAAACAUUUUAACCCUCCAAAUCCCUGCUGCGCUGUAGUUCAGCAAUUUGUUCAUUAGCAGAAGUUUCUGUUUGCGUUUGAACUUGGAUCAUUUGGUUUUUCCCCCAAGACAGGAAUGAAAUAUUGAUGGUGUCAUUAGGAGUGUGCGAAUGCGUGUGCGCACGUGUGCGUGGGGGACUUUGUGUGUGCACCCACGUACUGCUGGCCCCUGUGGUAGGAGGAAGCUGUGCUCAGGGCUUCCCUGUACCUCUCCUGGCUGGGCUGGAGGUCUGCCUGCCUUACCCAAACUGCUGCUUGCACUGUGCUAGAGCCUCUGUUCCCUGAAUUUGGCUUCUUUCCCCUCCCUGGGCAAGGGAGAGGAUGUAGGGCUCCAGAUCCCAAACAUCACAGCAGUGCUCUGCGCAACCCCAUGCUCUGUUUUCUUACAGUGCAUCUUUGUGCCACUUGGCUACAGUAAUCAGGCCCCACCUAAUUGCCAUUCAAUAAACUCCAGUUAAAUUAACAGCUCCACCCGAUGAGCACCAACAUCUGCUGUUCACCAGGCAGCCUUCCCUCCCCUCCUCCUCCCUGCGUCUCCUCAAAUCCCAAAAUUCAGCCCCGUGGGUCCCCAGCAAAGGGGCUGCGAAGGCUGGUCCAAAAGCUUUGGCACAGCCAGGAGCUUUUGUGGAGCGCAUGGAGGGGUUUGCGUGGGCAGGUUGUGUGUGGGCAGGGUGUGGAAGCACGGAGAGGAUACAAGAAAGAAAAUGUGCCUCCCGUUGUGCCCGUGGGGUGUGCUCACGGGAGUGUGGCUGUCAUGCAGAUGUCCAUCGGAUUUUGGCACGGCCAUCUGACCCCUGUGUUGCCACAGAGUACAUUUGUCAUGGGCGUGAGCUCCAGGUGACUCAAACAACCCAAACCUCAACUCAAACCUUUGCUUUUUGCAGUGUUUUGCCAGCGUAAGAGCAAGUGGGAGCACGUGCUUAGCUGCAGCGAUGGGUCUAGAGCAUCACACAAGAGCUUCACGCUGAUUUCAUUCAUCAUUCCUGCGUGCGGGUUUGGUUCUGCACCAGCCCAGCUCCAGCCGAAAAUCAGAGCCCAGGUCUGACUUCUGUAGCAGGUUUUGCACACAGAUGUGUGCACGCGUGUGUGAAAGCUUGCUUGUGCAUCGCCGUCUCCAGCAGCUCCACGGCGGCUGGGGAGAGGGAAGGUCACCUCUCCAAUCCGGAGGUUAACAGGGUCACGCUUCGCUUGUGGAAAAAAACUCUUGCUUAAAAUUAAGUCUCAGCCUUGCAGAAAGACAGGCCAGACAAACCAUUAAAAAAGGUCAAAGAUAUUAUCAGCUCCUAAUCCAAUUAGAUCCUGAUUAUCUGUAAAUUCAGCACAGCCUCACUGUUAGAGCGAUGCUUAGGAAAAUGAGCAUCUCCAAAAAGCAGCUGGAGAUCAAGGGGGCUCCGAGAGCUGAGGCAGCCUCGUGAGCGAUUAUGCCACUGCCUGGGGAGCGCUGGCUGUAGCAAGAGCCACGUCGGGUUUCCAGAGCUAUCUUUCUUCGCACUUGUCACCUGAUGGGUGACAUUACGUUGCUGGUGAGGGGGGCAGGCGGCUCUGCGGUCACCCCUUCUCAUGAAUACAAGUUUAAGGACAAAAAGAAACGAGAAUUUCUGUAUUCGAUUAAAAUCAGUGAUGCAGCAGCCUGACUUGUUGGGAAUUCUCCCGCAAAACAUUUUUAAUGGAAAAUAUCAUUCUGGCAAAACCAACAGUUUCCAUGGGGAAAUAACAGUUUUACCGUUUACUUGUUGUGUUGUGGGGUUUUUAUUUAUUUUAUUUUAUUUUUGGUCAGUCCAGCAAAAAGCACCACAUUUUAAGGAGCUCUCCUAUCGGUGUCAUUCCGGAAAGAAAACCUUUCAGCGGGGUAGAAAUCUAACUGGUUUUAAUCUGGAACUUGAUUGCUUUAUUAAGGGGAUUACGUGAUACGGUCCUGAGAUACCAGGGGGAUGGAUUUGCUCCCCUGGCAGGCGGUCUGACUCGGAGAAAAGAGAGUUUGUGCGCUGAAUGCUGGCUGAAAGAGUUAUGGAAAUGACCCCCCGUGGCUUCAUCCCCCUUGUCUCCGGACAAGGAGGUCUUUGAUAUUUCUUUGUGCUGAUAAUAGGACUGAGCCGAGGCUGCUUUCUCUCCCUAAAUGGAGCACCUUGCACAUCUUGCCGUGACAGAGUGAUUCUGUGCAGGUGUGAAUGCUUCUGGGUGAUUCCCGCCAUGAAGGCAGGGAGAGCUGCAAAGUACAGGGCACGUGCUGAGUGCCAGCCCCGCUGCCCUGUGCCCUGCCUUGAUUUUUCGGUGCUGGCUGCAGCAAAGGGUGGGUUUGCACCCCUCUGCCUUCUGCAGCUCACCCUUCCCAAAGGCAGCAUCGUCCUGGCUCCUUAUUUACAAAAGGCAACCGAUUUAAAUCUCUUCCCCCGUGCUUUACAAUCCCCCAUGCCUGGCUGGGCAGAGCGGGACAGCUUUGCAAUAACUCGCUGAGCAGCUCGAUGGAUUUCCAGUGUUGCCGUUUGGCUGCACUGACACUUCGGCUGUCGCUUCUGCCCUGGGGGAAGCAAAAUUCU